rnacentral:rRNA from 1 species
GAUGAACGCUGGCGGCGUGCCUAAUACAUGCAAGUCGAGCGAACAGACGAGGAGCUUGCUCCUCUGACGUUAGCGGCGGACGGGUGAGUAACACGUGGAUAACCUACCUAUAAGACUGGGAUAACUUCGGGAAACCGGAGCUAAUACCGGAUAAUAUAUUGAACCGCAUGGUUCAAUAGUGAAAGACGGUUUUGCUGUCACUUAUAGAUGGAUCCGCGCCGCAUUAGCUAGUUGGUAAGGUAACGGCUUACCAAGGCAACGAUGCGUAGCCGACCUGAGAGGGUGAUCGGCCACACGGGAACUGAGACACGGUCCAGGCUCCUACGGGAGGCAGCAGUAGGGAAUCUUCCGCAAUGGGCGAAAGCCUGACGGAGCAACGCCGCGUGAGUGAUGAAGGUCUUCGGAUCGUAAAACUCUGUUAUUAGGGAAGAACAAAUGUGUAAGUAACUAUGCACGUCUUGACGGUACCUAAUCAGAAAGCCACGGCUAACUACGUG